rnacentral:misc_RNA from 1 species
CGCCGCGAGCCAGUUGUGACAUGUUCCGUUUGCGUGGAUUGGUCCACAGUUUGUACCCAUCUCCUCAGCGAACUGAUCGUAAAAUGGACUACGCUGCCGAUUUCGUCAGACCGGACAACACUUCCGGAAGCUGCCGCGGCGAGGACACAACGAAGUCCGGGCCAUGUCCGAUAGCUUCCGUUUGCAUCCGAGUCGCCUUGAAAAUCGUUUUCGGACCGAUAACGGACGACGAACGGAUCUCUUCA